AUUGAACGCUGGCGGAAUGCUUUACACAUGCAAGUCGAACGGCAGCACGGACUUCGGUCUGGUGGCGAGUGGCGAACGGGUGAGUAAUACAUCGGAACGUGCCCAAUCGUGGGGGAUAACGUAGCGAAAGCUACGCUAAUACCGCAUACGAUCUAAGGAUGAAAGCGGGGGAUCGCAAGACCUCGCGCGAAUGGAGCGGCCGAUGGCAGAUUGGGUAGUUGGUAGGGUAAAGGCCUACCAAGCCGACGAUCUGUAGCUGGUCUGAGAGGAUGAUCGGCCACACUGGGACUGAGACACGGCACAGACUCCUACGGGAGGCAGCAGUGGGGAAUUUUGGACAAUGGACGCAAGUCUGAUCCAGCCAUUCCGCGUGCAGGAUGAAGGCCCGCGGGUUGUAAACUGCUUUUGUACAGAACGAAAAGGCUCUGGUUAAUACCUGGGGCUAAUGACGGUACUGUAAGAAUAAGCACCGGCUAACUACGUGCCAGCCGCCGCGGUAA
rnacentral:rRNA from 1 species